CUUUUUCUUUAUUUCUCUCUUUCUUUGAUUUUUGGAGGAAUAUUAAAGAUUAGAGAUUGAAAUGAACAUCUACAAUAUAUUUCUGAAAAUGGUGGUUCUUUUCUUGGCUUUUACCGUUGCCUUCUCUUCUGUUGCACUUCCAAAAUCAAGGAGACUCAUGAUUCAUACAGAUCAAGAAGCAGUUCAAGACUUACAUACUCAAUAUCAGGAAGGAAGAAUGGAUAUGCAAAUUGAAGACUAUCCAGGAACAGGAGCAAACAAUCACCAUGAUCCCAAACCCCCUUUACCUUGAAGAUCUUUUAUUUAUUUUAUUUUAUUUUUAAGAAAGUAGUAAAUUAAUUAAGGUGUGUUUGUUUUUAAUCUAUAUAUAUUAGAUGGUUGGUGAUGAUCUUGGGUUGUUGGAUUAUAUAUAUAAUUUUGAACAAGUUUUACCCAUUUGUUGUGCUUGAGGUAAUUAAGAUAAUGUAA